rnacentral:rRNA from 1 species
UACGUAGGGAGCAAGCGUUGUCCGGAAUCAUUGGGCGUAAAGAGCGCGUAGGUGGCUUUAUAAGUCCGUUGUGAAAGUCAAAGGCUCAACCUUUGAAAGCCGAUGGAUACUGUGAAGCUAGAGUACGGAAGAGGAGAGUGGAAUUCCCGGUGUAGCGGUGAAAUGCGCAGAUAUCGGGAAGAACACCCGUGGCGAAGGCGGCUCUCUGGGACGGUACUGACGCUGAGACGCGAAAGCGUGGGGAGCGAACAGG